GCCUCGUCUAGCUCAGUCGGUAGAGCGCAAGGCUCUUAACCUUGUGGUCGUGGGUCUGAGCCCCACGGUGGGUG
rnacentral:tRNA from 1 species